GGGGGGACCCGCACAAGCGGUGGAGCAUGUGGUUUAAUUUGAAAAUACGCGGAGAACCUUACCCACUCUUGACAUCCUUCGCAAUGCUAUAGAGAUAUAGCGGAGGUUAACGGAGUGACAGAUGGUGCAUGGUUGUCGUCAGCUCGUGUCGUGAGAUGUUUGGUCAAGUCCUGCAACGAGCGCAACCCCUAUCUUUAGUUACUAACGAGUCAUGUCGAGGACUCUAGAGAUACUGCCUGGGUAACUGGGAGGAAGGUGGGGAUGACGUCAAAUCAUCAUGCCUCUUACGAGUGGGGCAACACACGUGCUACAAUGGUCGGUACAAAGAGAAGCAAUAUGGCGACAUGGAGCAAAUCUCAAAAAGCCGAUCUCAGUUCGGAUUGGAGUCUGCAAUUCGACUCCAUGAAGUCGGAAUCGCUAGUAAUCGCAGAUCAGCUACGCUGCGGUGAAUACGUUCUCGGGUCUUGUACACACCGCCCGUCGCACCAUGGGAGCUGGUAAUACCCAAAGUCGGUUAGCUAACCUCGGAGGCGACCGCCUAAGGUAGGACUGGUGACUGGGGUGAAGUCGGAACAAGGUAUCCCUACGAGAACGUGGGGAUGGAUCACCUCCCAA
rnacentral:rRNA from 1 species